rnacentral:rRNA from 1 species
GACAUAUGGAGGAUUGACAGACAGUUAACCAAAACGCAGCAGCUAGUUUAACAAAACUAACAGCUCUUUCAAGAUUAUGUGGUAGGUGGUGCAUGGCCGUUCUUAGUUCGUGAAGUGAUUCGUUCGCCCAUCGCAUUUCCAAACAACUAACAACUCAGAAUGCUGGGCAAUAGGACGUUUAAAGUGGCUCCUUACCCUUACAAAGGAAUGGCUGAUGAGAAACACUCGAUCCGCUCAGCGUUCUAUUGGAAUGCAACGGACGUGAUUGCA